rnacentral:lncRNA from 1 species
UAACCAAAACGUGAUGAUGAGUUCAUUAUUUGAAUCAGCUGUGUAGUGCAAGUGCAAAAACCAAAACGUGCACCCUUUGGGGUCCUCGGGACCGGGUUUUGGAAACGCUGAACUAGUAAUAUAUAUAGAUGUACUGUAGGAUUAGUUGGUCUUAUGUAGUAGUGCUAUAUGCAGUAGAUUUAGGGUUAGUUUGUGGUAUGUAGUAGCUCUGUAUAGAUGUAGGGUUAGUUGGUGGUAUGUAGUAGCUCUAUAUAGAUGUAGGGUUAGUUGGUCUUAUGUAGUAGUGCUGUAUAGAUGUAGGGUUAGUUGGUGGUAUGUAGUGGUGCUGUAUAGAUGUAGGGUUAGUUGGUGGUAUGUAGUAGUGCUAUAUGCAGAAGAUUUAGGGUUAGUUGGUGGUAUGUAGUAGCUCUGUAUAGAUUUAGGGUUUAGUUGGUGGUAGUAGUAGCUGCGUAUGAUGUAGGGUAGUUGGUGUUCUGUAGAGCUCUAUAUGUGUAGGGUUGUUGGUGGUAUGUAGUAGCUCUAUGAUGUGGGUUAGUUGGUGGUUGUAGUGUGCUUAUGCAGUAGAUGUAGGGUUAGUUGGUGGUAUGUAGUAGUGCUGUAUGAUGUGGUUAGUUUGUGGUAUGUAGUGCUCUCUAUGAUGUAGGGUUAGUUGGUGUAGGUAGUAGCUCGUA